rnacentral:rRNA from 1 species
UACGAAGGGGGCUAGCGUUGCUCGGAAUCACUGGGCGUAAAGGGUGCGUAGGCGGGUCUUUUAAGUCAGGGGUGAAAUCCUGGAGCUCAACUCCAGAACUGUCUUUGAUACUGAAGAUCUUGAGUUCGGGAGAGGUGAGUGGAACUGCGAGUGUAGAGGUGAAAUUCGUAGAUAUUAGGAAGAACACCAGUGGCGAAGGCGGCUCACUGGAUCGGUACUGACGCUGAGGUGCGAAAGCGUGGGGAGCAAACGGG